AAAAUCGAUACGCAAAAUCAAUAACCAAACAUUUUAAUAAAAUACCAAUGCGUAAAUAAAAUCCAUUUCGAGAAAAUCAUUAAAUCAGAACAUUUAAAAUACUUAAUUCACAAACAUGCAUUACUAUCAUAAUUAACUAUGAAAAUAUGUUUUGUAUAUUCCACUCAUAGUGCGGUGUUCACGGUCGGUUAUCGUCCACAUCCGCGGACCGGUUCUCGCUCGUGGAUCCUCCUAAAUCAAGGAAACGACCAAAUUUAUGCAAUAAACUCGAAACGAACAUCUAUCCAUAAUUGACAACUCCCGUGUCCAUAAAAUUACUAAAAUGCCAUUGAGUCCGUAGAUCAUUAACAUGCUCCGAAAUCGUAAAUCACUGAAUUACUCUCGAAAUCGUAAUUACACCCAAUCCUCAAUUCUACGAAUUACUAAAAUAUCCACAGGCUCAGAAAUUACAAAAUUGCCCUCAUAGUGUGAAAUUACCAAAAUGCCUUUGCCGGUCAACGGUCACCGGAAUUUGGUCAACACUGGCUAGGAAGCUCAAAUCUUAAAGUUCCAAUCACGUUGAGUUCAAUGGUAUCGGCGGUGAGCUCCAACGUGCAGCAACGACGCCGGAAUCUAGCUCGGCAGCCGUGAAUUCCAACAAUCGACCGGCGGUAAAACAAUGACUCUCGGUGCCUAUGGAUUGUCGGAAAUGGAAGAGGGAGUCGUGGGGAACAAAAUCCAACCGGUGGUGUCACCCAAAACUGGCGAAAAUCCCGGCGGAGCAAAGUGAAACAGUC
rnacentral:lncRNA from 1 species